rnacentral:rRNA from 1 species
UACAGAGGAUGCAAGCGUUAUCCGGAAUGAUUGGGCGUAAAGCGUCUGUAGGUGGCUUUUUAAGUCCGCCGUCAAAUCCCAGGGCUCAACUCUGGACAGGCGGUGGAAACUACACGGCUAGAGUGCGUUCGGGGCAGAGGGAAUUCCUGGUGUAGCGGUGAAAUGCGUAGAGAUCAGGAAGAACACCGGUGGCGAAGGCGCUCUGCUAGGCCGCAACUGACACUGAGGGACGAAAGCUAGGGGAGCGAAUGGG